UCCGGUUUUGUACCGGCAGUCUCCCUAGAUAUGCAACUAAGGACAGGGGUUGCGCUCGUUGCGCCACUUAAGGCAACACCUCACGGCACGAGCUGACGACAGCCAUGCACCACCUGUGCAGGCUCCGAAGAGCGCCCGCUUUCACGGGUUUCACCCUGCAUGUCAAGCCCAGGUAAGGUUCUUCGCGUCGCAUCGAAUUAAGCAACAUGCUCCGCCGCUUGUGCGGGGCCCCGUCAAUUCCUUUGAGUUUUAGCCUUGCGGCCGUACUCCCCAGGCGGGGUGCUUAAUGCGUUAGCUUCGGCACGGACGGGGUCGAUGUCCGCCCACACCUAGCACCCAACGUUUACGGCUAGGACUAC
rnacentral:misc_RNA from 1 species